rnacentral:lncRNA from 1 species
GUCAAAUCCCUGGGUCAGCGUUUCAGGGAGUCUUGGUCCACCCUGAGCUGGGCACCGUGUGGCUCGGCCCGCGGUGUAGACCCCGUCCCCACCAGAGAGAACCACGGCCAGAUGCUCCAACUCCGCGAGCCGAUGUUGCCCUUUCGUGCUACGCUGCCCGGCUUGCUCCUCGGGCUUUGUAUCGGGGUCCUCGCCGCUUUGCCCCGAUUGUCCUAUCCAGGCGCUGUCUGCGGGUGUGGAAAUCCCCCGACCCAGAGCUGCACUGCCCUGAGGACCUGCUGGUACGAGAGAUGGAGCUUCGGCUCGAGAGGUUUGACUACGCUGUGUUUCCUUGACCAGAGGCACUAGCCUACCCUCAGAAAACCCUCGGUGUCCAUCAGAUUAUCCAUACUUCAUGUGCUGGCUCGCUGGCUCUGCUUCCCUCAGCUCAAGUGCGCCCCCUGGUGCCCUGAACCUUCGCUAGCCGUCCUGCCAGCGCAUGCCCUCCCAGACUUGGUCUAAACCUGAGGAUGGGUUUGGGGGUCUGAUGACCCACUGUGCAGAAUCUCACAAGCUCCAAGUUGGACCUGCCACCUGCAAAUAUAUUCAGACCUUCAGUCCUUUUCCUGAGCCAUCUGCUUGAGAACUUUCUCCAGAUAAAUCUCUAAAAUGUUUCUCCCUUAAAAUUGUGUCCCUUUCUCCCUUGGGUAGUAGCACCAUCUGGCUUUUUUUGUUGUUGUUCUUUUGGCGGGGACGUUGUUGAGACCGGGUAUCACUAUGUAGACCAUGCUGGCCUCUGUCUCCCGAGUGCUGGAUUCAUAGGCAUUUGCCACCAUACUGGGCGAAUAACAUCUAAUGGAGUUAGAUGCUGUGAAUUUACCUUUUCAACAGAGCAGUUAGAUUAUCUACUGUGAGGCUCCGCUUCCUACCCCCAUCCCCCACUGCACCAGUAUAGCCAGGCGUCCCGUUUAUCUAAUCUGCCCAUUUCUGUUCCUGAGACACAGCUAUUCAUCCAGCAAUCUCUGCAUCUCAUAUCCACUCCGCAGUGAAUUGUGGGAAAUGUAAACCUGACCUUGAUAAACCUGACCUCUUGCUAGAUUCUGCAGAGACUCUCUGCCAUUUGUUCUGCUAGAUAAAGUUCAAGUUCCCCAACUGACCCGCCCAUGUUGCUUCCUUCACCGCAGCCUUUCUCCUCCUCCUGGUCCUGAGUGCUCCGAUCCGAUGGAAUCGCUGGGGUUCUCAAUUUGCUCUUCUCUCAACAGGGCCCUUUCUUGGGCAGCACCUCCUCUGAAAAACCUUCGCUAGCCACACUCUA